CCCGGCCUCUUUCUAUGUGGAACCUAGAACUGGAACCUGGAAUUUGAACUGCAGAUACAGACAACUACACAUGUCUUUCAAGAACAGUUUGCUGGGUGUUGACCAACAUCAAACUGCUUACCCAGGAACCACUAGAAGUGAAUCUCUUCUUGAGUAUUCCAUACUGCUGCCCCUGCUAUUCACUUGGGGUCCCAGUCAGUUGUUACUAUAUAUUUGUCAUCUAUUGUGAGAGUCGUUAUAUCACCUACCACAUCAGUGAUACUGAGAAGGAACAAGUCUGCCAAAGAUGCUUCACAGUUAGUUGUUACCUUUUUAAGAAGACUGUGCUUGAAAAUUAUGGUAAAACACAUUUAGAAGAAGGAUGUGCAUUUUCACAUCAGUCUAUGAAGUAUAACUUGACAUUUAAAUUAAAA
rnacentral:lncRNA from 1 species